rnacentral:rRNA from 1 species
GAUGAACGAGGGAGGCGGGAAGAAUACAUGCAAGUCGAGCGAACAGACGAGGAGCUUGCUCCUUUGACGUUAGCGGCGGACGGGUGAGUAACACGUGGGUAACCUACCUAUAAGACUGGGAUAACUUCGGGAAACCGGAGCUAAUACCGGAUAAUAUUUCGAACCGCAUGGUUCGAUAGUGAACGAUGGCUUUGCUAUCACUUAUAGAUGGACCGGCGCCGUAUUAGCUAGUUGGUAAGGUAACGGCUUACCAAGGCAACGAUACGUAGCCGACCUGAGAGGGUGAUCGGCCACACUGGAACUGAGCCACGGUCCAGACUCCUACGGGAGGCAGCAGUAGGGAAUCUUCCGCAAUGGGCGAAAGCCUGACGGAGCAACGCCGCGUGAGUGAUGAAGGUCUUCGGAUCGUAAAACUCUGUUAUUAGGGAAGAACAAACGUGUAAGUAACUGUGCACGUCUUGACGGUACCUAAUCAGAAAGCCACGGCUAACUACGUG